UAGGGUGAAUUAUGUAUUUUCUACACUAUCUU
rnacentral:tRNA from 1 species